CCGACCUUAGCUCAGUUGGCAGAGCGGAGGACUGUAGUUGGAUAAAGCUGUCAUCCUUAGGUCGCUGGUUCGAAUCCGGCAGGUCGGA
rnacentral:tRNA from 1 species